UGCAUUUUCCGUUAUUUUCAAUUAAAAUUUACCAUUACAUAAUUAAUUGCAUAGUUGUACUUUGUACAUGGAAAUUCAACAGGAUAAAAUACAUGCACACAUAUAGUUGCAGUGAUUUUAUAGAGUCUGUUCACAUUCACAAUGUUAUGUUUGAGUUUUCUCACAUAUAAACACCCAAACCAAUUUUGUAAAAAAAAAUGUGAGAGAUCAAUGAAGUUGAAUAUUUUUUAACUGCAGAAAACAUGAAAGUAAUAAAUAUUUUGUAUAUUAAUAAUUAAAUACUAGUAUAAUACAGGAGAAAACAUUAUUACUUUAUGUACAUAAAAUUUAGGUUGUUUUUUUUUAAAUGAAAUGUUGACAUGUCCUACAAUAGUUUGACUGGUAACUUUGAAUCUUGGGCUAGUAACUUUGUGGCCAAAUUUUGUAAUUGCACACCCCUGACAUUGCUAUAUGUACAUGUAAUAUCAAAGCUGUAUGUCUAAUAUUCUAUUGUACUAUUUCAGAGAUAUGUUACACAGAUGACAUACUUUUCACAUGCUGCACUUGAUGCAGUUACACACCACUAUCAUGAAGUUGUCAUUCAUUAUAUUUAUAUUAGAAUAAAGAUGAUGUCAU
rnacentral:sRNA from 1 species